rnacentral:rRNA from 1 species
AUCUAAGUACCCCGAGGAAAAGAAAUCAACCGAGAUUCCCCCAGUAGCGGCGAGCGAACGGGGAGGAGCCCAGAGCCUGAAUCAGCAUGUGUGUUAGUGGAAGCGUCUGGAAAGGCGCGCGAUACAGGGUGACAGCCCCGUACACAAAAGCGCAUGUGCUGUGAGCUCGAUGAGUAGGGCGGGACACGUGGUAUCCUGUCUGAAUAUGGGGGGACCAUCCUCCAAGGCUAAAUACUCCUGACUGACCGAUAGUGAACCAGUACCGUGAGGGAAAGGCGAAAAGAACCCCGGCGAGGGGAGUGAAAAAGAACCUGAAACCGUGUACGUACAAGCAGUGGGAGCACCCUUCGGGGUGUGACUGCGUACCUUUUGUAUAAUGGGUCAGCGACUUAUAUUCUGUAGCAAGGUUAACCGUAUAGGGGAGCCGGAGGGAAACCGAGUCUUAAUUGGGCGUUAAGUUGCAGGGUAUAGACCCGAAACCCGGUGAUCUAGCCAUGGGCAGGUUGAAGGUUGGGUAACACUAACUGGAGGACCGAACCGACUAAUGUUGAAAAAUUAGCGGAUGACCUGUGGCUGGGGGUGAAAGGCCAAUCAAACCGGGAGAUAGCUGGUUCUCCCCGAAAGCUAUUUAGGUAGCGCCUCGUGAAUUCAUCUCCGGGGGUAGAGCACUGUUUCGGCUAGGGGGCCAUCCCGGCUUACCAACCCGAUGCAAACUGCGAAUACCGGAGAAUGUUAUCACGGGAGACACACGGCGGGUGCUAACGUCCGUCGUGAAGAGGGAAACAACCCAGACCGCCAGCUAAGGUCCCAAAGUCAUGGUUAAGUGGGAAACGAUGUGGGAAGGCCCAGACAGCCAGGAUGUUGGCUUAGAAGCAGCCAUCAUUUAAAGAAAGCGUAAUAGCUCACUGGUCGAGUCGGCCUGCGCG